rnacentral:lncRNA from 10 species
UUCAGGCUAACCAUGCCAUGUGAUCUUGGGGGAAAAACUAGGAGCAAGUCAAAUAUUCUUUUAUAUCUGAACUCAGUUCAUUAUUCUGUGAAGCAACUAGGGGUCCUCUCUCCAUGUGGUUUCUCAUCCAUAGUGGUCCAGCCUGGACUUCUUCACCAGUGGUCUCAGAGGCUUGGACAGCAAGCUCCAAUGUGCAAGUGCUUGUUAAGCCUUAGCUUCUAAUAUACUUAGUAAUGUCUUUUUGCCCAACCCAAGUCAUCUGUCCAACCCAGAGUCAAAGGCUGAAGAAUAGACUCCAUUGCUUGGUGAGAAUCUGCAACGUCACAUUACAAGAAAUAUAACAUAAAAGCAUGAAGGAAUUUUUGACAUUUGGCAAUCUUCCACAAAUGCUAUGCUAAAUAUCCUUUCAACUACUACUGUGCACACUUACCUGAUUAUUCAUAUGAGAUAAACUUCUGGAAGAUAAAUUGUUCAGUAAAAAGUGUGACUAUUUUAAGCUAUGGAUUUCUACUACCACAAUUGGAAUUUAUACUCUCAUCAACUAGUCUUUGAGUGAUAAGAACUCAGUGCCUGGCAUAAUGUAUAGUUUAUUACACUAUAAAUAUUGGUUAAAUGAAUCAAUGAAUGAAUGAAUGAAAACCGCAUACAGAAAUCAAAAAAAUGAGAACAAAUCGGUAGCCUGACUAAUACUGAUAUUACCAUGCUUUAAAUAUUUGCUCAUUAACAGCUAAAAAUAGAACCUUAUUUUAAUUCCUACUUUUUGCAUUACUAAUAGUGGUUAUGUUCAAUGGCUAUGUGGUAUUCUACUUUACUGAAUUUGAAUUGAGCAAAUAUCAUUUGGUCUGUUUCUGGGUUCUCUGUAUUUUGUUUCAGUCAUUUUGUCUAUUGGGCCUUAAAACUAUCAUAUCUAACUUAUUCUUUUCAUGACUACAAUACUCCAAUGCAUGGAAGUAUCCUAAUUUACUUAACUGAUGUCUUUUUUAUGGAUAGAUAUAUAUUCCUAGUCCUUUGAUAUUAAAAGAAAGCUGAAAUGAUCAUCCUUUAUAUGGCCUUUACAUAGAUGUCUUUGCUGUCAAGUGAAGGUAUAUCUUUAGGAUAAGAUAUACCUGGUAUGAUAAUUACUGGAAAAAUAGUAUGUUCAUUUAAAAUAUUGAUAUUUGUUGCAUAAAUGCCUUCCAAAGAAGUUGUAGCAAUUCUCACUUUUUUUUUUUUAAUCAGUGGGUAAACGUGCAUGCUUCCCUAAACUCUUACUAAAGCAACAUAUCCAAGCUUAUCUGAUGUGGAAAAUGGCAAAUCACUUUUUCAAAUUUGUAUUCCCAUUUGAAUUAUAAUAAACAUCUUUUUAUUAAGCUUAUAAGCUACAUUUCUUUCUUUCUCUUGGCAAACUGAUUCAAAUUUUUUGUUCUUUUUUUUAUUGGGUUGUUGUUUUUUUUCCUUAAUUUUAAUAGCUCCUUAUAUCUUAAGGACAUUAGUUUUAACAUUUUCUGUUUAUGUUAUCCAUGGUACUUCUCUGCAGAAGUGUUUCAUUUUGAUACAGUCCUAUUUAUUUACUAUUUCUUUAUUGUUUCUGGCCCUUGAGUCUUUAUUCUAAAGGCCUUGCCACUCCACUCUCAUAAAAAAUUAUCGCUCAUAUUUUUAUUUGGUACUUUUAUUUAGUUACUUACUAACUUACUUUAAGUUUACAUUCUUGAGCUCUCAGGAACUUAUUUUGGCAUGAGGAGCAAAGUCUUAAGUUUCUUUUUUCCAGAGGGCUAGCCAAUGCCCUCAUAUAAUUUUUUAAAAAAUUACAUCAAUUCUCCAGUGAUUUGGAAUACACUUUUAUCAUAUAGCAAAUUCACAUAUGCAUUUGGCUCUAUUUUUGAAUUGUAUUUUGUUCCAUUCAUCUGUCUGUCUACUCUAGCAACAGUACCAACCAUUUAAAAUUAGUUUUGAGAAUACAUUUUAAUACUAGAGGUACCAAUCCUCUUUAAUUACUCUUCUUUCUUUUUUAAAAUACUUUUUUGGGUAUUCUCACAUAUGUAUCUUUGAUACACACUUUGGAAUCAAUUUAUCUACUUUUGCAAAGAGUACAUUAAAUUUAUAGAUUUUGAGACAACAGUUUUACACUUUGAGUUUUCAUAUUUAGAACUACGCAUGUCUCUCCA